GUGCUUGCUUUGGCAGCACAUACACUAAAACUGGAACAAUACAGAGGAUUUUAGCAUGGCCCCUGCACAAGGAUGACACACAAAUUUGUGGAGUGUUCCAUAUUUUG